ACUGAACGCUGGCGGCAGGCCUAACACAUGCAAGUCGAGCGAGCGGCGGACGGGUGAGUAAUGUCUGGGAAACUUCCUGAUGGAGGGGGAUAACUACUGGAAACGGUAGGUAAUACCGCAUACCAUCAGAUGUGCCCAGAUGGGAUUAGCUAGUCGGUGGGGUAACGGCUCACCUAGGCGACGAUGCCUAGCCGGUCUGAGAGGAUGACCAGCCACACUGGAACUGAGACACGGUCCAGACUCCUACGAGAGGCAGCAGUAGGGAAUAUUGCACAAUGGGCGCAAGCCUGAUGCAGCCAUGCCGCGUGUGUGAAGAAGGCCUUCGGGUUGUAAAGCACUUUUGGCGGGGAGGCGGUACCCGCAGAGGAAGCACCGGCUAACUCCGUGCCAGCAGCCGCGGUAAUAC
rnacentral:rRNA from 1 species